rnacentral:misc_RNA from 1 species
GCAAAUGUCAUCUCAAUUCCAUCCUCAGAAAUGGCAUGCUGGUGAGCGAAUUUUCCGGCGUUGUUUAUGAGAAGAUUGAGAGGAAAAUUCAGAUAUUCAAAUUCAGCGACGAAAUUCCGUACGGAACUCAGAGAGCUAAGAUCGAGAGCCAUAACGAUGAUCUCCGCCUCCGGCACUUCAGAUAGGAUUCGAGUUUUUGUUUCCUCUGCCGCUUUUACACUACGCGCCGGUAAAAUCAGCUUAACACCACGUUUUGCCAGAACUCUCGCCGUCUCCGCUCCAAUUCCUGACGUCGCACCAGUGAUAAUAGCGGUGACCGACCGAAGAUCAGGAGACUGUUCGGUGACGUUCUCGGCAGUGGAUUUUGAACCGUAACCGCUAGCUCCGGCGGAACCAAGCAAGUACUUCACCGUUU